UACGUAGGGUGCAAGCGUUGUCCGGAAUUAUUGGGCGUAAAGAGCUCGUAGGCGGUUUGUCGCGUCUGCUGUGAAAACUCGAGGCUCAACCUCGGGCUUGCAGUGGGUACGGGCAGACUAGAGUGCGGUAGGGGAGACUGGAAUUCCUGGUGUAGCGGUGAAAUGCGCAGAUAUCAGGAGGAACACCGGUGGCGAAGGCGGUUCUCUGGGCAUGACCUGACGCUGAGGAGCGAAAGUGUGGGGAGCGAACAGG
rnacentral:rRNA from 1 species